GUCAGAGAAGAGUAUUGGUAACUCAUCAGGCUCAUGUCCUGAAGAUUGUAGGUUCGAAUCCUGCCUCUGACA
rnacentral:tRNA from 1 species